rnacentral:rRNA from 1 species
GACGAACGCUGGCGGCGUGCUUAACACAUGCAAGUCGAACGGAAAGGCCCUGCUUUUGUGGGGUGCUCGAGUGGCGAACGGGUGAGUAACACGUGAGUAACCUGCCCUUGACUUUGGGAUAACUUCAGGAAACUGGGGCUAAUACCGGAUAGGAGCUCCUGCUGCAUGGUGGGGGUUGGAAAGUUUCGGCGGUUGGGGAUGGACUCGCGGCUUUUCAGCUUGUUGGUGGGGUAGUGGCUUACCAAGGCGUUGACGGGUAGCCGGCCUGAGAGGGUGACCGGCCACGUUGGGACUGAGAUACGGCCCAGACUGCUACGUGAGGCAGCAGUGGGGAGUAUUGCGCAAUGGGCGGAAGCCUGAUGCAGCAACGCCGCGUGCGGGAUAUCGGCCAUCGGGUUGUAGGCCGCUUUCGCCUGUGACGAAGCGUGAGUGACGGUGAUGGGUAAGGGAGCGCCAGCUAGCUAGGUG